rnacentral:rRNA from 1 species
GGAGGAAAAGAAACUAACAAGGAUUCCCCUAGUAGCGGCGAGCGAAGCGGGAAGAGCUCAAAUUUAUAAUCUGGCACCUUCGGUGUCCGAGUUGUAAUCUCUAGAAGUGUUUUCCGCGUUGGACCGCACACAAGUCUGUUGGAAUACAGCGGCAUAGUGGUGAAACCCCCGUAUAUGGUGCGGACGCCCAGCGCUUUGUGAUACACUUUCAAUGAGUCGAGUUGUUUGGGAAUGCAGCUCAAAUUGGGUGGUAAAUUCCAUCUAAAGCUAAAUAUUGGCGAGAGACCGAUAGCGAACAAGUACCGUGAGGGAAAGAUGAAAAGCACUUUGGAAAGAGAGUUAACAGUACGUGAAAUUGUUGGAAGGGAAACGCUUGAAGUCAGACUUGCUUGCCGGAGCUUGCUUCGGUUUGCAGGCCAGCAUCAGUUUUCCGGGGUGGAUAAUGACGGUUUGAAGGUAGCAGUCUCGGCUGUGUUAUAGCUUUCCGUUGGAUACAUCCUGGGGGACUGAGGAACGCAGCGUGCUUUUUGCGAAAGACUCGUCUUUUUCACGCUUAGGAUGCUGGUGGAAUGGCUUUAAACGACCCGUCUU